rnacentral:rRNA from 1 species
AAAGCUUCAGUGCCUGGAGAUGAGCUCGCGUCUGAUUAGCUAGUAGGAGUGGUAACGGCACCCCUAGGCGACGAUCAGUAGCUGGUCUGAGAGGAUGAUCAGCCACACUGGGACUGAGACACGGCCCAGACUCCUACGGGAGGCAGCAGUGGGGAAUUUUCCGCAAUGGGCGCAAGCCUGACGGAGCAAGACCGCGUGAGGGACGAAGGUCUGUGGAUUGUAAACCUCUUUUGACAGGGAAGAAGAACGUGACGGUACCUGUCGAAUCAGCCUCGGCUAACUCCGUGCCAGCAGCCGCGGUAAUACGGAGGAGGCAAGCGUUAUCCGGAAUUAUUGGGCGUAAAGCGUCCGUAGGUGGGCGACCAAGUCAGUUGUUAAAUAGUGAAGCUUAACUUCAUAGAGGCGACUGAAACUGAUGGUCUAGAGAGUGGUAGGGGUAGAGGGAAUUUCCAGUGUAGCGGUGAAAUGCGUAGAUAUUGGAAAGAACACCGGUGGCGAAAGCGCUCUACUGGGCCAUGACUGACACUGAGGGACGAAAGCUAGGGGAGCGAAAGGGAUUAGAUACCCCUGUAGUCCUAGCCGUAAACGAUGGAUACUAGGCGUUGCCCGUAUCGACCCGGGCAGUGUCGUAGCUAACGCGUUAAGUAUCCCGCCUGGGGAGUACGCUCGCAAGAGUGAAACUCAAAGGAAUUGACGG